UUUUCUGCAAGAGAGACGGUUUGGUCCUUCAUCAGCUUCUUUGUUCAGAGACCAUGGGCUUCUUCAGGACAUCGUGCCCUCCCAGAUGAGAAAGGAUACUAAAGAGGAGUAGAAGGAUUUGCAUAUUAGUUUGCUGGUAUGUAAUUCUCUGACUGAUGGGGUUCUGUCUCUGUAGAAAGUUAAUCCCGCUUCAUCGAUCACCCAUUAAUUUCAAUGACACAGAACCUUAUCGUUGGGAAAUGAUGAUGACUAGGCUUUUUAGCAGCAUAUGCAGGGACUAGCUAGUUUUCCCUUUUUUCUUGUGUUAUUCUUUUGUAUCCAGAGACUAUCCGGUUAUGGAGAUAACUGAAUUUUGUAUCAUCCUUUUCCCCCUUUAGUAGUUACUCAAUUUCU
rnacentral:misc_RNA from 1 species